rnacentral:rRNA from 1 species
AAUCAACGCUGGCGGCGUGCCUAACACAUGCAAGUCGAACGCGAAAGCCCCUUCGGGGGUAAGUAGAGUGGCGUCCGGGUGAGCAACACGUGGGUAAUCUACCUUCGGGUGGGGAAUAACUCAGGGAAACUUGAGCUAAUACCGCAUAAUGCAGCGGCACCUAAUGGUGAUUAGUUGUUAAAGCGGGGGAUCGCAAGACCUCGCGCCUGAAGAGGAGCCUGCGGCAGAUUAGCAGUUGGUGAGGUAAUGGCUCACCAAGGCUUCGAUCUGUAGCUGGUCUGAGAGGACGGCCAGCCACACUGGCACUGACACACGGGCCAGACUCCUACGGGAGGCAGCAGUGGGGAAUUUUGGGCAAUGGGCGAAAGCCUGACCCAGCAACGCCGCGUGAGGGAGGAAAUCCUUCGGGAUGUAAACCUCACAAGCAAGGGAAGAGAGCUACGGGCUGAAUAAUCCCGUAGUGCGACGGUACCUUGCGUAAGCCACGGCUAACUACGUGCC